ACCUGACCUGGUGCAGUAGAGUCCUAACUUCACACAGAAGGGAUGUUUAUUGGAAACAGAAGCUCAUUAAACAGUGGUAUUUCACUUUCCACAGUCCAGGAUUUCUGUCUUUCAAUAGAAACCUUUCACAAGGGGAAAAGAACUCAGCUAUUUUGUCUUCAUAUCUGGCUAUUAAAAAAUCCCAGCAGAUGAAGAAGAUGGCUAGAACAGUGAGUACAAAAAGCGCCAGGGCUCUCUGAAAAUUCAGGACACAUGCUGCGAUGACUAUCAUCAGGAGAGGGACAAACAGGACCAUUUGAAUGAGUUCUCUACGUAUGCUGGAAUGCUGAGGCUUUAUGGCAUGACGUCUCCAUAAAGAAACACUUUGGCGUGGGCACUGAAUGGCUCAGAUACCUAGAAGUACACACAAGCAACCAAAGCAAACAGAACAAAGAAAUAAAUUCCACCAAAGCAGAAAGAAGAGUAAUUCAUAUAGGAACAUUGCAGAAGAUCUAUCAAAG